UACACACCGCCCGUCACACCAUGGGAGGCGGGUUCUGCCAGAAGUAGUUAGCCUAACCGCAAGGAGGGCGAUUACCACGGCAGGGUUCGUGACUGGGGUNGG
rnacentral:rRNA from 1 species